AGGUCAACAACAUGCAACCAGAGAUCGAGGUUAACACCUGAAGAUUGACAAAUUCUUUACUAUGAUUGGAUACUCCUCGACGGGGGAUGAUCCUUGAGGGCGUGGUCUCUCUCCCUCUGUGAACUGAGAUGGCUCGUCACAUAUCUACAAGGACAUGAGCAUCUGCUUCAAACGCACAGCAGGAGGAACAGAGGAGAAGUGCACAGCUGCCUGACAACCCCCGAUGAUGACAUCCUCAAACACUCCCCUGCACUCUGCAGACACACCCAGCACUCACUGCAGCUUAAGCAACUUUUUCCAAGUUACAGAGGUGGACCGGAGGCUUGAAAGUUGCUGCUUCAAAUCCCUUCACAUACAGG